CGUUAUCCGGAGUUACUGGGCGUAAAGGGCGUGUAGGCGGUUUGUUAAGUCUGGCGUGAAAGCUCUCGGCUAAACCGGGAGAGGUCGUUGGAUACUGGCGAACUAGAGGAUGGUAGAGGCGUGUGGAAUUCCGGGUGUAGUGGUGAAAUGCGUAGAGAUCCGGAGGAACACCAGUGGCGAAGGCGACACGCUGGGCCAUACCUGACGCUAAAGCGCGACAGCAUGGGGAGCAAACGGG
rnacentral:rRNA from 1 species